rnacentral:rRNA from 1 species
UACGUAGGAGGCAAGCGUUGUCCGGAGUUACUGGGCGUAAAGGGCGCGUAGGCGGCCACCGCAAGUCAGUUGUGAAAGCUCUGGGCUUAACCCAGAAAGGUCAACUGAUACUGCGGGGCUAGAGUGCAGAAGGGGCAACUGGAAUUCUCGGUGUAGCGGUGAAAUGCGUAGAUAUCGAGAGGAACACCUGCGGCGAAGGCGGGUUGCUGGGCUGACACUGACGCUGAAGUGCGAAAGCUAGGGGAGCGAACGGG